rnacentral:tRNA from 1 species
GCGCCAGUAGCUCAGUCCGGAUAGAGCGUCUGACUACGGAUCAGAAGGUCGGGGGUUCGAAUCCCUCCUGGCGCACCG